rnacentral:rRNA from 1 species
AGUGAACGCUGGCGGUAGGCCUAACACAUGCAAGUCGAACGGCAGCACAGUAAGAGCUUGCUCUUACGGGUGGCGAGUGGCGGACGGGUGAGGAAUACAUCGGAAUCUACUUUUUCGUGGGGGAUAACGUAGGGAAACUUACGCUAAUACCGCAUACUACCUACGGGUGAAAGCAGGGGAUCUUCGGACCUUGCGCGAUUGAAUGAGCCGAUGUCGGAUUAGCUAGUUGGCGGGGUAAAGGCCCACCAAGGCGACGAUCCGUAGCUGGUCUGAGAGGAUGAUCAGCCACACUGGAACUGAGACACGGUCCAGACUCCUACGGGAGGCAACAGGGAGGAAUAUUGGACAAUGGGCGGAAGCCUGAACCGGCCAUAACGCGUGGGUGAAGAAGGCCUUCGGGUUGUAAAGCCCUUUUGUUGGGAAAGAAAAGCAGCAGGUUAAUACCCCGCAGUUCUGACGGUACCCAAAGAAUAAGCACCGGCUAACUUCGUG